rnacentral:rRNA from 1 species
UACGAGGGGGGCGAGCGUUGUUCGGAAUUCUUGGGCGUAAAGGGCGCGUAGGCGGUGCGGUAAGUCACCUGUGAAACCUCUGGGCUUAACUCAGAGCCUGCAGGCGAAACUGCCGUGCUGGAGUGUGGGAGAGGUGCGUGGAAUUCCCGGUGUAGCGGUGAAAUGCGUAGAUAUCGGGAAGAACACCUAUGGCGAAGGCAGCUCUCUGGGACGGUACUGACGCUGAGACGCGAAAGCGUGGGGAGCGAACAGG